rnacentral:misc_RNA from 1 species
UCUCCGUUGGUGGACCAGCGGAGGGAUCAUUACAGGAUCGAAAGACUCCUAUAACCCCUGUGAACUUACUACAAAUACGUUGCUUCGGCGGGUGCCCCGGGUCUCCCGGGGCGUUCAGCCCGCCGGCAGCCUUCAAAUUCUGUUUCUUUGCGUUGGCAUCUCGAGUAUACAAAAAUAAGUUAAAACUUUCAACAACGGAUCUCUUGGUUCUG